rnacentral:misc_RNA from 1 species
GAUGAAGAACGCAGCAAAAUGCGAUAAGUAAUGUGAAUUGCAGAAUUCAGUGAAUCAUCGAAUCUUUGAACGCACAUUGCGCCCGCCAGUAUUCUGGCGGGCAUGCCUGUUCGAGCGUCAUUUCAACCCUCAAGCACAGCUUGGUGUUGGGACUCGCGUUAAUUCGCGUUCCCCAAAUUGAUUGGCGGUCACGUCGAGCUUCCAUAGCGUAGUAGUAAAACCCUCGUUACUGGUAAUCGUCGCGGCCACGCCGUUAAACCCCAACUUCUGAAUGUUGACCUCGGAUCAGGUAGGAAUACCCGCUGAACUUAAGCUUAUCAAUAAGCGGAGGA